UUGGCAUGUCACAAACCUUUCCCCUGCCCCGGAGUACACCCAGCUAGCCCUGCGUCCACUGGGAGGGGAAGGAGAUUCGACAAGGAUAAGUAACUGUAGCUUCCCUGGACAUGAUCCUGCAGUGGCUGACUACAACAUAUGGUGGAAGAAUGCAGACAUCCAGUGAGGCACCAGAAGAACAUCAAGACUGGCUCCAUGGACACUCCGAAAGAUACCCAUAUCAUGCGACAUCACCAGUGGCUCCACUGAUGGUGAAAUCCUCCUCCAGUGAAAAUCAUGAAGAAUCGAACCAAAUUAUGUCAUGCCAAUGCUCCAGGCCAUUGACCACACAUUCCCUUCUCAUCUGCUUUGGCAGCCAAGCACUGGUGAUCACAAUUUUGGAUGUCAGCACACAAAGGAAAGCUUCCAUUGCAACACAGCAUGCUGUGCUACCAAAUAAGACUUAUUGCACUGGAUUUCAACUUCAUUUCCAGCUCUUAAAAUGUCUUCUUCAGAAGUCAGCCUUGCAUCUAACAGGACAGAUGUGAAAAUGAAGGAACAAUUUUUUUUGUCAAUUAAAGAACCUCCAUCUUCAAGAAAACUCUUGGCUUAGUUUCCUGUCCUGGGCUUGCAGACUUCUAGAAGGGGAUGAGCAACCACUUUAAUCCAAAAGCACCAUCUCUGAAGCAGUAUAGAAGCCUUUCAGCAAAGUUAUGAAGUGUCUUUAGAGAAAUCAAAAUAGAGGUGUAAAUGGAGACUUCUGGAAGGCCCACUGAAUCAUCCCUUUCCCCAUUUGCACAAUUAAAGAUAACAAGUAACUUCCAGGUUUUAGUUCAGCCAUUUCACUGCAGAAUCAGGCAGUGAUAAAGUAAAGGAAAUAAUCCCAUUUAUAGGAAGCACGCAAAAACCAAUAUUUGGAAAAAACUGAAUUUGCUAGAUGCAAUUCACGAUCUGUUACAAGUGACCACUCCUCUGCCUCCAGCUUAAGCAUCAGCAGCCAAAAAAUAGGCAGCAGUACUAAAGAGGCAAGGCCAAAAGGUCACAGCUUGUGUAGGCAAGACUUAACCAUCUCCAGGAGUUGCAGAAGACAUGCAGUCCAAGUAUCUCAGUCUGCAGAAACAAAUGAGAUCAAGACAUCAAUACCAGAGUCAGUUAAAGGCUCUGUACGUAUUCUAGCCCCUAAAAGCCCAGCACGUAAAAUAUACAAAUAUAGCAACCCACACUUCUGACAGGAACUAUACUGCAAAUGUACACAAGGAUAGGUUAGCCAUUAAAAGAAAGUGGAGCUGAGGACAUAAUAAACAAAAGCCUGUUGGUUCUGACACUUAGAAAACUACAAACCCUAGUAAGUCUUCCAGAAUCUCGUAACUGGACAUGCCAAUCACUGAAUUCCAUUAUGUGGAAGAGGAAGGCUGUGUAUCCACAGAAUAGAUACUCUGUAACUGAACUCCUGCUGCAAAAAAGGCACUCACUUUGAAAGCUGUAGUUUAUUUCUGAUCUGUUUUAUAUGAUGAACCUACGAAAGAAAACAUUUGAGCACCUAUCUAUAUUAUUAACAGAGUAGACUUGUAGACUGAAUCUUGACUUGGAAAACAAAAUUCAUCCCAAUACUGGUGGAACUUAAAAGCCAAGUAGCAAAGCACUGUGUUAUAGGACUUCCCAGACAUUCAGUAUUUACAUAGAAUGCAUUUGCACUUUACACUUAAUGACCACCCAUCAGCAGUGACAUUGUUAGCAUGACUGGACAGCACAGUAAGCCAACCCUGAGCUGCACUCUAGCAAACCUAUUCAGGGUCAAUGUACAACACCACAGAUUGGUUUAAAUAUUCACACAGUUGUUUUUCAAAACAUUUUAUUGCAUUAUAUUUGGUACCUUAUGUUUGACAAAGGAAAUUACAUCUGUAACUGCAGGAAUAAGAAGCUGGUCUGUUAUUGAAAAAAAAAAAAAA